GACCUCCCAGGAUCGCAUCUGGAGAGCUCCCAGUGCUCUGCCAGCUUCGGAGGCGGGAGGAAGAGACACCGCAGAUGAAUGCCCAUUCCGUGGCCAGCCCCGCCGUGGCCGGUCAGCGGAAGAUAAGUCUGCCACACGC